CCAUCCCGCUCCGCAUUCAUCGUUGGUGCUUCUGUGCUGGGUCUAUAUAUAGUGUACUCAUCCAACACUAUGGCCGUGAGCACACACAUGGUAAUUUCAUCGCCAUGUGCGAGCUCUUUGCAAGGUUCGAAGUUUCUUAGUACGAGUACCCGAACUCCAAGAAUGUAUAUUUGGUUGUCCCGCCAAUUUUUCACAUAUAUGGCCCGUCUCUGUCUUGGGACUGUUGUCGUUAGGGUGUACGCUGUGGUUGUGAUGAGGAGGUUUGAUCCCAACAUGGAGGUUAAGGCCAUCGAUAGGUUUGAAGGGAUCAUGACUCUAAGCCAAGGGCAAGCAGACUGCAUUGGCCUUGCUAGCGUUGGCCUGAUUCCUACAAUAACUGUUCUGGACAUUCGUAAAAACUGGUUUUGGAUCACUGCAUUGAGGCCCUUAGCGUAAUUGAAGAUUGUUUUCCAUUGAAGAGUUUGAGUUCUAGUGUUCCUCAUCUUGGAAGAGUGGAAGUCAUGUGUGAAUAGGCUAAACCCUUGAUAUGGAGGUGAGCAAUGAGGAAGGAGCUAAUUAAGGUAAAGAUGAUAGUGGCGGAAGACUAGACGCUAUCGGAGAUCGUUGUUCAGGGGAUUGAUCAGCAAGUUGAGCAGAUGAGGAAGGAGUUUCAGCUCAGUGAGAAGGGCAUGGUUUAUUUAAAAGGCAUAUUCAAGAGAUGACCAACACCCUAGCACUGAUGGGGUGUUGGUCAUCCAAGACUUGUAGCAAUACUUACUGCAGGGCCAUGCUGUUACUAGGAAGCUUAAUUGUAAUGGUAAGGUCAAUACUAUGCAGACUCUGCACAACCUAAACAAAGUUAUUGAUUUUCUUAUUGUUGCCGGAUUCCUAAAAAAGGUUCAUUCAUAUAGUUCAUAUAUGUAACGUUGUGACUAUCUAGAUGAGCCGCCUCAAUUUGAACAAGCCUGAAAGAAAAGUGCUAGAAAGCAUUUGCCUGAUUGGAUCGAGCAUUUUGAUGGCCAUGAUGGACGUUGCUUUGAUUGGCAUAGGUUUUACUGUUGUUACUAGUUUUAAAGAAGCAGCAUACCAUGCUUGACUUUGGCUACUAUAACUUGAUCAAGAGAUUGGAAUGGACAAAACAACACCUGUGGAGCUAGCCAACCACUUCCGUGAGUCCAUUGGGUAAAAAAAUCCUCCUGUGCUAUUCCGAAGGACAGCACUGAAAAUGGGUUUAAAGGAUAGAUGGCCAGUUGUUUGCUGUGAGAUAGAUGAUAACCACUUUUCAAAUGGCUAUGGUCAUGCUUUUGAUGGAGGACUUUAAUGGCAAAAGUUGAUACUAGUUUUAAAGAAGCAGCAUAUCAUGCUUGGCUUUGGCUACUAUAACUCGAUCAGGGAGAUUGGGAGGGACAAAACAACACUUGUGGAGCUAGCCAACUGAUUUUGCAAGUCCAUUGGUUUGAAAAAUCCUCUUGUGCUAUUCCAAAAGACAGCACUGAAAAUGGGUUUGGAGGAUAUUCCCGGCAUCCGAAUUUGCAAGCGAUCCUUGUUUUGGUGACAUCCGAGCCUUGGAUAAAUAUGAAAUGGCUUUUUCAUGUUGGUUCAAUGCUUAUUCAAUUAACUUUGUUAUUAGAGAAUAGUGCUCGUCAUUAAUAAAGAAGAAAGUGAUCAACCAAGGAUAAUCAAUCAGGAGACAUGGUGUUCCCGAUGUCCUGCUUCUUCUCUACUUCCAUGGUCAUUAUCUUCAAGCUCCCGGUUUCAUUUGUCCUGCCAAUGUGGCAUAGAUUUCCCAGAACUUGUGGUUGAGCUUCUAAAUGUGGAGUUACUCUUGCAGAUUUAUGAAGUGUUUAACCUGAUAUCAAUUCCCUUGUUAAAUCAAUACACAAGACUUGAUGUAAUGAACGAUUUCAUUCAUAAUGUGAUUAUUAACUCCUGUUGAAACUUGGCACUUUGAAUUUUGAA